rnacentral:rRNA from 1 species
GACGAACGCUGGCGGCGUGCUUAACACAUGCAAGUCGAACGAAGAGCGAUGGAAGCUUGCUUCUAUCAAUCUUAGUGGCGAACGGGUGAGGAACGCGUAAUCAACCUGCCCUUCAGAGGGGGACAACAGUUGGAAACGACUGCUAAUACCGCAUACGAUCCGACCUCGGCAUCGAGGAUAGAUGAAAGGUGGCCUCUACAUGUAAGCUAUCACUGAAGGAGGGGAGUGCGUCUGAUUAGCUAGUUGGAGGGGUAACGGCCCACCAAGGCGAGGAUCAGUAGCCGGUCUGAGAGGAUGAACGGCCACAUUGGGACUGAGACACGGCCCAGACUCCUACGGGAGGCAGCAGUGGGGAAUCUUCCGCAAUGGACGAAAGUCUGACGGAGCAACGCCGCGUGAGUGAUGACGGCCUUCGGGUUGUAAAGCUCUGUUAAUCGGGACGAAAGGCCUUUUUGCGAAUAGUGAGAAGGAUUGACGGUACCGGAAUAGAAAGCCACGGCUAACUACGUG